UUCGCAAUAUUGUUUGAUUGACAUGUUUACUUGCAAGCGAAUAUUUUUAGAAACAAUUAAUUAUGUUAUGUCUGGGGCGUGUAGUCAUGAAAGGGGGGCUUUCCUGCAGGCCCUUAAAUCCCCCCCCCCGGAGCCCGCCAAAAUCCUGCCCGCUGCAAAUCAGGCCCCCCCAUAAGGGCCAUUGAGGGCCUGCCACGCAGGCUACAUUUUACUGAGUGUUUUGCCUCAUGCAACCUUUUCUCACGUAUCAAACAUGUUUGAUCGGUGAGCUAUCGGCUGAGCUAACAGAGACGAGUAACUUUUGGCUCAGCAGAUAUAGCUCUCGUGUGCUGCAGGCUUAAGGGAUGUGUUAACUCAACUCAACCAUCUUAUGUAUCAAUUGUAUGCCUAGCCAGAAAAUAUGACUUGACUCAGGUUAGUAGGGUCACAUUGAUAAUUUAACAAACUCACCCUAUUAUUAGGUAAAAGGUUAAAAGUAUACUUAAUUUUUUAAAUCUUUAAUAUCAAACUUUCUGUUCUUUUAUAAAUUAUUUCCAUUCAUGAUUCAUGCAUCAUUGACCCAUGUGAUGUGAACAAUUUAACUAUAUGUAUUAACUGAGAGAACAAUUUGGUGCAACAUGUAAAGAUCAAGUUUGAAGUUGCUAAGUUGCUUUUAUAUAUUUUUUAUCAAUAUUUUAGUACAGUAUUAUAUUUAAUAUCAUCGUAAAAUAACUUCACGGAGUUCACGGCCUACCUUCAGAAUUCAGAUAUUAAUUCAAAGUGUUGCCUGCGUCAAAAUCGCUCUUGAGAUGAACUAGGGUUUAUCUUGCGAGUAAAAUUUACACGUAAAAUAGUAAAAUACUGUCCAAACCCAGCGUACCAGAUACAAAACUAUAAAAUACUGAAUAUAAAAUGCUCGCUUAUCGUAGCGCCAUUUUUAUUUUUGGAUCGGUAAAUAAUGUCGUAUAAAUGGCGAGGCGGCGCGCAAAUUCCUGAGUUAAGAAAACUGGGGCGAAUAUUUUUAGACCCAAGCAUUA